UACAGAGGGUGCGAGCGUUAAUCGGAGUUAUUGGGCGUAAAGGGCGCGUAGGCGGAUAGACAAGUGAGAUGUGAAAUCCCUGGGCUUAACCUAGGAAUUGCAUUUUAGACUGUUUUUCUGGAGUACAGUAGAGGGUGGCGGAAUUUCCGGUGUAGCAGUGAAAUGCGUAGAGAUGCGGAGGAACACCGAUGGCGAAGGCAGCCCCCUGGGCUGACACUGACGCUCAGGCACGAAAGCGUGGGGAGCAAACAGG
rnacentral:rRNA from 1 species